AUUGAACGCUGGCGGCAGGCCUAACACAUGCAAGUCGAGCGGAUGAAGGGAGCUUGCUCCUGGAUUCAGCGGCGGACGGGUGAGUAAUGCCUAGGAAUCUGCCUGGUAGUGGGGGAUAACGUCCGGAAACGGGCGCUAAUACCGCAUACGUCCUGAGGGAGAAAGUGGGGGAUCUUCGGACCUCACGCUAUCAGAUGAGCCUAGGUCGGAUUAGCUAGUUGGUGGGGUAAAGGCCUACCAAGGCGACGAUCCGUAACUGGUCUGAGAGGAUGGUCAGUCACACUGGAACUGAGACACGGUCCAGACUCCUACGGGAGGCAGCAGUGGGGAAUAUUGGACAAUGGGUGAAAGCCUGAUCCAGCCAUGCCGCGUGUGUGAAGAAGGUCUUCGGAUUGUAAAGCACUUUAAGUUGGGAGGAAGGGCAGUAAGUUAAUACCUUGCUGUUUUGACGUUACCAACAGAAUAAGCACCGGCUAAGUUCGUGC
rnacentral:rRNA from 1 species